UUGCAUGCAUAUCAGACUGUUGUUGAAGUCCCCCAAAACCAAAAUAUAACACUUUUUAGUCUAUAAAAAAAUUGGGGCGGUCACUGGAUCGAGCCCGGCUGGGUCAGUUGCCAUUUCUAUGUGGAGUUUGCAUGUUGACCCUCCAGGAGCUCUGGGGUGUCCACCACAAGUCCAAAGACUUGCCCUAUAGGUGAGGUAAGCCAAAUCAUCCAUAGUGUAUGCAUGUAUGUACUGAUCCUCCAGGUUGGGCGUUGAGUGUUGAGCUAACGACCCACCUUGUAAAAAUUAGAUGUUACGAAACACCAACAUGAUAAGGGCUAAAUAUCAACUUCGAUUUAAAACAGCCCUGGGAGUAAGUAAAUAAGUAGUAAAUACAUCUACUAAUGAAGCCUUGUUGUAAAGUGUGACCUAUUUUUUUUUAAAGACUCCCAGUGGCACAAAAAUCAAAAAUGCAAAUUGAUUUUAUGUCAAAAACCCUACAUCUAUAUGACAUCAACAUUUUGAAGCCUCGUUAACAACUAAAAUAACAACACAAAACAUACUACAUUAUAAGAAAAGUUUUAUUUUCUUAAAGCUUCCAAAUUUGUACACUGGAUUUUGUAUGCCUACAAUGACUGUAAACUUCCUUAUCAAACAUAUUUGACCCCAAUAAUAGAUGUCAAUUUAACGUCAUUUUGACAUCAAGGUGCCCGCUUGGCAAUUAAAGACAUAGCUCAUUCAAAAAUAAAAAAUUAACGCCCAUUCACUCUCCCUCAUGUCAUUUUACCCAUUAACCAACAUUCCUCAAAAUAUCUUAUUUCAACAAAAGAAAUCCAAAUAGGUUUUGAAAAAGAGUGAGUAAAUUAUUUCAUUUUGGUUGAACUAUCAAUUUAAAGCAUAAAGAAGAAAAGAAAGUGGCAUUGAAAGUAUGGGUUUCUAUAUUUAUCUGUAAACACACAUUUGCACUUUGAUUUAUGUUUAUAAUAUGAACAAAACAGAAAAACAGCUUUUGAAUGAUGCUAUGUAAUUCUGCAAUGAAUUCAAAAUAAAAGCAUGAUCAGCAAUGUUCAUUUCUGUGGC